rnacentral:tRNA from 1 species
AGUUAAUGAACUUGUAUAGUAUAUAUUUUGAAAAUAUAAAAAAGGGAUACAUCUCCCUAUUAACUU